rnacentral:snoRNA from 1 species
UAUCAGAAAAAGCCCUGAUGGGGCUUUUUCUGUAAACCUGCAUCGCUGGAACCGCCUCGUAGAGUAACUAUGUGGUUUCCUUUACUCCUAGAACUAUGUGUUAGAUCUGUGGGGAAGAACUACAAGACAGAG